rnacentral:rRNA from 1 species
AUUGAACGCUGGCGGCAGGCCUAACACAUGCAAGUCGAGCGGAUGAGUGGAGCUUGCUCCAUGAUUCAGCGGCGGACGGGUGAGUAAUGCCUAGGAAUCUGCCUGGUAGUGGGGGACAACGUUUCGAAAGGAACGCUAAUACCGCAUACGUCCUACGGGAGAAAGUGGGGGAUCUUCGGACCUCACGCUAUCAGAUGAGCCUAGGUCGGAUUAGCUAGUUGGUGAGGUAAAGGCUCACCAAGGCGACGAUCCGUAACUGGUCUGAGAGGAUGAUCAGUCACACUGGAACUGAGACACGGUCCAGACUCCUACGGGAGGCAGCAGUGGGGAAUAUUGGACGAGGGGCGAAAGCCUGAUCCAGCCAUGCCGCGUGUGUGAAGAAGGUCUUCGGAUUGUAAAGCACUGUAAGUUGGGAGGAAGGGCAGUAAGUUAAGACCUGGCUGUUUUGACGUUACCAACAGAAUAAGCACCGGCUAACUUCGUG